rnacentral:rRNA from 1 species
AAAGGAAUAGACGGGGGCCCCGCACAAGCGGUGGAGCAUGUGGCUUAAUUCGAUGAUACACGAGAAACCUUACCCGGGCUUGAACUGCUAGGUAAACCCGCUGAAAGGCGGGCUGCUUCGGCAACCUAGUAGAGGUGCUGCAUGGCUGUCGUCAGCUCGUGUCGUGAGAUGUGGGGUUAAGUCCUUCAACGAGCGCAACCCUUGUCGCUAGUUACCAGCGGGUAAUGCCGGGGACUCUAGUGAGACUGCCGGUUUAAGCCGGAGGAAGGCGGGGAUGACGUCAAGUCCUCAUGGCCCUUACGUCCGGGGCUGCACACGUGCUACAAUGGUCGGCACAACGGGUCGCAAAGCCGCGAGGCUAAGCUAAUCCCUUAAAGCCGGCCCCAGUUCAGAUUGGAGUCUGCAAUUCGACUCCAUGAAGCCGGAAUCGCUAGUAAUCGCGCAUCAGCAUGGCGCGGUGAAUACGUUCUCGGGCCUUGUACACACCGCCCGU